rnacentral:rRNA from 1 species
UACGUAGGGUGCGAGCGUUAAUCGGAAUUACUGGGCGUAAAGCGUGCGCAGGCGGUGAGCUGUGUCCGAUGUGAAAGCCCCGGGCUUAACCUGGGAAUGGCAUUGGAAACUGGCUCGCUGGAGUGUGGCAGAGGGGGGUGGAAUUCCGCGUGUAGCGGUGAAAUGCUUAGAUAUGUCAUAGAACACCGAUAGCGAAGGCAGCUCACUAGGCCUGGAUUGACGCUCAGGGACGAAAGCGUGGGGAGCAAACAGG